rnacentral:rRNA from 1 species
GACGAACGCUGGCGGCGUGCUUAACACAUGCAAGUCGAACGGAAAGGCCCUGCUUUUGUGGGGUGCUCGUGUGGCGAACGGGUGAGUAACACGUGAGUAACCUGCCCUUGACUUUGGGAUAACUUCAGGAAACUGGGGCUAAUACCGGAUAGGAGCUCCUGCUGCAUGGUGGGGGUUGGAAAGUUUCGGCGGUUGGGGAUGGACUCGCGGCUUAUCAGCUUGUUGGUGGGGUAGUGGCUUACCAAGGCUUUGACGGGUAGCCGGCCUGAGAGGGUGACCGGCCACAUUGGGACUGAGAUACGGACCAGACUCCUACGGGAGGCAGCAGUGGGGAAUAUUGCACAAUGGGCGGAAGCCUGAUGCAGCAACGCCGCGUGCGGGAUGACGGCCUUCUGGUUGUAAACCGCUUUCGCCUGUGACGAAGCGUGAGUGACGGUAAUGGGUAAAGAAGCACCGGCUAACUACGUG